GACGAACGCUGGCGGCGUGCUUAACACAUGCAAGUCGAACGGAAAGGCCCUGCUUGCAGGGUACUCGAGUGGCGAACGGGUGAGUAACACGUGGGUGAUCUGCCCUGCACUUCGGGAUAAGCCUGGGAAACUGGGUCUAAUACCGGAUAGGAGCCAUUUUUAGUGUGAUGGUUGGAAAGUUUUUUCGGUGUAGGAUGAGCUCGCGGCCUAUCAGCUUGUUGGUGGGGUAAUGGCCUACCAAGGCGGCGACGGGUAGCCGGCCUGAGAGGGUGGACGGCCACAUUGGGACUGAGAUACGGCCCAGACUCCUACGGGAGGCAGCAGUGGGGAAUAUUGCACAAUGGGCGCAAGCCUGAUGCAGCGACGCCGCGGGGGGGAUGACGGCCUUCGGGUUGUAAACUCCGUUCGCUAGGGACGAAGCUUUUUGUGACGGUACCUAGAGAAGAAGCACCGGCUAACUACGUG
rnacentral:rRNA from 1 species